rnacentral:rRNA from 1 species
GACGAACGCUGGCGGCGUGCUUAACACAUGCAAGUCGAACGGGUCUGCCCUGUUUUUUGCGGGGUGGGUCAGUGGCGAACGGGUGAGUAACACGUGAGUAACCUGCCCCUCACUUCUGGAUAACCGCUUGAAAGGGUGGCUAAUACGGGGUGUUCUGGCUGUGCCGCAUGGUGUGGCUGGGAAAGAUUCACUUUUGUGGUGUUUUGGUGGGGGAUGGGCUCGCGGCCUAUCAGCUUGUUGGUGGGGUGAUGGCCUGCCAAGGCUUUGACGGGUAGCCGGCCUGGGAGGGUGGGCGGGCAAACUGGGACUGAGAUACGGCCCAGACUCCUGCGGGAAGCAGCAGUGGGGGGUAUUGCACAAUGGGCGGAAGCCUGAUGCAGCGACGUCGCGGGAGGGAUGGAGGCCUUCGGGUUGUGAACCUCUUUCGCCGGUGAAGAAGGUCCUGCUCUUUGUGGUGGGGUUGACGGUAGCCGGGUUAUGAAGCGCCGGCUAACUACGUG